GACAGAGGAUGCAAGCGUCAUCCGGAAUGAUUGGGCGUAAAGCGUCUGUAGGUGGCUUUUCAAGUCCGCCGUCAAAUCCCAGGGCUCAACCCUGGACAGGCGGUGGAAACUACCAAGCUGGAGUACGGUAGGGGCAGAGGGAAUUUCCGGUGGAGCGGUGAAAUGCAUUGAGAUCGGAAAGAACACCAACGGCGAAAGCACUCGUAGCUGGGCCGACACUGACACUGAGAGACGAAAGCUAGGGGAGC
rnacentral:rRNA from 1 species